rnacentral:rRNA from 1 species
GACGAACGCUGGUGGCGUGCUUAACACAUGCAAGUCGAACGGAAAGGCCCUGCUUGCAGGGUACUCGAGUGGCGAACGGGUGAGUAACACGCGGGUGAUCUGCCCUGCACUUCGGGAUAAGCCUGGGAAACUGGGUCUAAUACCGGAUAGGAGCCAUUUUUAGUGUGAUGGUUGGAAAGUUUUUUCGGUGUAGGAUGAGCUCGCGGCCUAUCAGCUUGUUGGUGGGGUAAUGGCCUACCAAGGCGGCGACGGGUAGCCGGCCUGAGAGGGUGGACGGCCACAUUGGGACUGAGAUACGGCCCAGACUCCUACGGGAGGCAGCAGUGGGGAAUAUUGCACAAUGGGCGCAAGCCUGAUGCAGCGACGCCGCGUGGGGGAUGACGGCCUUCGGGUUGUAAACUCCUUUCGCUAGGGACGAAGCUUUUUGUGACGGUACCUAGAUAAGAAGCACCGGCUAACUACGU